AUUGAACGCUGGCGGCAUGCUUUACACAUGCAAGUCGAACGGAAGCGCGGGCUUCGGCCUGGCGGCGCGUGGCGGACGGGUGAGUAAUACAUCGGAACGUGCCCAGUAGUGGGGGAUAGCUCGGCGAAAGCCGGAUUAAUACAGCAUACGACCUGAGGGUGAAAGCGGGGGAUCUUCGGACCUCGCGCUAUUGGAUGGGACGAUGGGAGAUUAGCUAGUUGGUGGGGUAAAGGCCUACCAAGGCGACGAUCUGUAGCUGGUCUGAGAGGACGACCAGCCACACUGGGACUGAGACACGGCCCAGACUCCUACGGGAGGCAGCAGUGGGGAAUUUUGGACAAUGGGCGAAAGCCUGAUCCAGCAAUGCCGCGUGUGUGAUGAAGGCCUUCGGGUUGUAAAGCACUUUUGGCGGGAACGAAAAGGACUGUGCCAAUACCACGGUUCGAUGACGGUACCCGCAGAAUAAGCACCGGCUAACUACGUG
rnacentral:rRNA from 1 species